AUCCGGAUCGAGGACAGUGUAUGGUGGGCAGUUUGACUGGGGCGGUCUCCUCCUAAAGAGUAACGGAGGAGUACGAAGGUGCGCUCAGACCGGUCGGAAAUCGGUCGCAGAGUAUAAAGGCAAAAGCGCGCUUGACUGCGAGACAGACACGUCGAGCAGGUACGAAAGUAGGUCUUAGUGAUCCGGUGGUUCUGUAUGGAAGGGCCAUCGCUCAACGGAUAAAAGGUACUCCGGGGAUAACAGGCUGAUACCGCCCAAGAGUUCAUAUCGACGGCGGUGUUUGGCACCUCGAUGUCGGCUCAUCACAUCCUGGGGCUGAAGCCGGUCCCAAGGGUAUGGCUGUUCGCCAUUUAAAGUGGUACGCGAGCUGGGUUUAGAACGUCGUGAGACAGUUCGGUCCCUAUCUGCCGUGGACGUUUGAGAUUUGAGAGGGGCUGCUCCUAGUACGAGAGGACCGGAGUGGACGAACCUCUGGUGUUCCGGUUGUCACGCCAGUGGCAUUGCCGGGUAGCUAUGUUCGGAAAAGAUAACCGCUGAAAGCAUCUAAGCGGGAAACUUGCCUCAAGAUGAGAUCUCACUGGGAACUUGAUUCCCCUGAAGGGCCGUCGAAGACUACGACGUUGAUAGGCUGGGUGUGUAAGCGUUGUGAGGCGUUGAGCUAACCAGUACUAAU
rnacentral:rRNA from 1 species